GGCCCCGGCCCCGGCCCCAACCGCCCGUCGUGAUACGGCCCCUGCCUUCCCCCUUCUCCGGGGUGGCCACUUGGUGGGAUGGAGAGGAGGAGGGAGGGGGAGGUAAUAAGAUAACGACAAAAAAUUAGAGAAGAGUGGCAGCAGGCCACCUCGUUUACCUUUACCUGUUCGUCUCAGCGGAAUCUUUAGAGCGUUGGACUAAUUGCGCGAGCCGAGCCGAGCCUAGAAAAAGAAAAACACGUCAAGGCGGCCGAGGGAUUAAUUCUAAGGGGAAAGAGAGGGGGAGGAGGAGGAGAGAGAGGAGGUGGAGGGGCGCCGCGCCGCGCCGCGUUACUAAAGGCCGGGGGACGACGAGGCCAUGGCCGGCCCUCAUGUGAUCGGUCGUCCUCUCGUCCUCCGCCUCGAGGGUGGUUUAGACGAGGCGCAGUGGACGGCACGCGGGCACGGCGAGGAUCCGCCGGCAUAGCUGUCCUCCUAGCUAAAGCCGGAGCCGGCCCCCAGCAGCCGCGCCGCGCCGCCCUACAAGUUCGAGGUGGCGGUGGCGAGGAGCCUGGCCUCGCAGCCGCUCGCGAAGCUCAAGUCCAAGAGGUCGAAGGCGCGGCAGUACCAGGGACGUCAUAGCCUGUCCUACAAGGAAAGCUAUCAGAGACACCUAUGGCCCUUUUGGUAGCGGUUUAGGUCAUUUCGCCGACGGGCGUCACCUUAGACGGUUACCGGGCUAAGGUAUAGCCUUGGCUAUACCAAAAGAGCUCUGCGUCACAGUUUUCUCAAGCUACUCACGGUUAUGUUCUAACAACAAAGACACCCUAGUUAUUCUUGACCAUAAGAACCGCUUUAAAAGGAUUUGGACAGGUUGAAAGACUUAAACCGCCUGGGUUGACGGUAGAGAUACGGCAACUUCUCUACGUUGAGACCUUGUCAAAACGUCGAAUUCCAAGUUAGAGAACCGUGUUUCGGAUUCAACCCACCACACUCUAGAAGUUCCCUGUACGGAGGAGCAUAGUCACUGGUAACAGAUUAUUUACUGCUGUACCUAUUGUUUAGUCUACCGAGACUAUUAUGCCGGUUGUCCUCACAGGCAAGACGCAGUCCUUGAGGAAAUCCCCCGUGAAUAGUUCUACUUGGACCUUUGUCCCUUUACUCAAAGAGUCGUAGUCCCAGAGUGGCCUCAAGGUUAAGACCUCUAUCAUGGGUUCUAUCUUGUUUAAACAGAGGCUAUCUGUUGUGAUUACCACCUAACAUACAGCCUUCCGUCCUAAGUCCAUCAAGGAUACAGUCGCGACCGGCACCACUACUUCCUAACUCUAGUUUGUUAAGUAGAAAGUCAAGGGCCCGAAGUCCAGGUUUGUACGACGUUCCUUUAUGAGGGUUUAGGAAAAGUUUACCCUAACGAGUCAGUAGUAACCCCUGUUGACUAAGUAGAUUUCUAGAAGAACUUCGACGACUUCUUUGUUAACUUCUUGAGGCACUACUCCGUUUUUACACCCUUGCUGUAAGAGCGUUUAACUUCCGACUAGAUCUCCGCGACUUCUCCCUUACAAGACUCUUUAGUUUCGUUGUCUGACUCGAUCGUGAACUUGACAGACGACGUGUACGACUCGCCCUAAGAAUGUCCGUGCUUUAACUUCUUAACUUCAGUAGUGCCGUUCUCAGUAGAGCCGUUCUCAGCAAAGCCGGUCUCAAUUCGUCUGCCGUUUAUUUUAGACAUUGGGGGUUUGCACCCCUGACCUAGUUGUACCUCUUCCUUCAUCUUCUGCUCUACUUCAAAGACUUUCUUAGUUUACGUUCGAAUGUCCAUGUCGACUUCUCGUGAGUUCUCCGUUUAUAUCUCGAACAAAGAUAAGAAGUCCUUGACCUUCUCUGGUAUCUUCUUGUUUCUCGCCUCUAUAGAUUUUAAAGACUCCGGUUCCUACAGUGAUUAUGUCUACAUAACUUCUUACCCAACAAUCAGUUUCUUCUCUGUCUUACCCGAUCCUUUGACAGUUACUUUCUUCUACUUUAGUUAUGAAACUCCGUCUUUGAUCUAGCGGAAGAGUCAUAACUUUUACGUCCACGGCGUCCAAGACUAUGGCAAAUAGAACUUAACCUCUUUCUUUUACUUUGAGAUUCCCAUUUUUAUGUUCUUGAACUCUUUCUAACAAGACUUGAUUGUCUACUUUUAGACCUCGAAUAUAUAUUCGACUUUCUUUCGCCACACCCUUUUCCCGUCCUAAGAGUACAAAGUUUGUUGUCACUUAACGUUUAACUUUUCGAAUGUAGUGUUUAUAUAGUUGACCUUCUCCUUGAAUCUCUGUUCCUUUACUACGUACUGCCGUCAAAAUGGCUCAGUAGUCACAGAUUACGGUUUCUCAAUGUCUCCUUCACACGACUGGAACUCGACUUCGACGAUGCAAAAUCCAGAGUUCCGAAACUCGAUCUUCUCUUCAAGGCUUUUUCGGUUCUUCUUGAUCUUGUUUUUUUAGAACUCAAUAGAUUCGACUCUCUCCUCGAACUUCCGAACCUUCCACCACUUUGACCACCACGCUCUCCUAUGGUUAAAUCUCUUCUAGAUCUCCUAUUACUUAGACUCUGUCUAUAUGACUUCUGGUCUCAGGUCGAUGUUGUCGUCCUUUUACUACUGAACGCCGCGAGGUUUCAGCUUUGCCUUUUAAACUACAGACUUUAAGUCCGUCUCUUCUCAGACAAUCUCCUUGCGAACCGUCGUAGUCAAUUUCUUUCAUCGUAGUGAAGGUUUACGAACCUACUUAACGUUGUUCUGUAAAACCACGAAAGAUCGUCGUAUCUAAGGGUACACAGACGAUUAUUCCAAGAACUUUCUUUCUAUUUACUUGAGCUCUCGACGUUUCGUCUUGAUCUCAAUGUAUAUAGUCUCGAACUUGUCCUUUUAUAUCUCAACAGUCUUGCGUAUAGACCUGACCUUCGGGUUAAUAGAAUGUAAUGUUUACUUUUCCUCAGUUCACUCGACGUCUACGUGCUGAGUUUUAGGGAACAGUAGUCAGAGUUUCUAUUUCAUCUCGCUGUUGUUCACCUCUACCUAUGAGUUUCCCAACUCAAAUCUGUUUUUGUCGUUCUUUGUGUUUCUUUUGACAGCCUUCGUGUCCUGCUAAGUCUUCAAGACUCUUCUAGAUUAAGAUUAGACGUUAGAUGUCAACUCUUGGAAUAACUUCUCACGUCAAGGGAAGUUUUAGACUGACGUCUAGAGUUCUCCGUCUUCAACCUUAACGUACCGGCAAAAUACGUUGUUCUCGUCCUUAACCUAUUGAGCUUUUUUUCCUAGGAACUAAAAACAUUUUGUCACCUCAAGGAUCUUAGUUUCGAAAGAAGAGAAGUCUUCCUGUAUAGAACGUUUCUCGUUAGUAACGACAGUCUUGACCUCUCAUAUAAGGUCCUCGUGUGUCUCGUUCUUCUUUUCUAUUUAGCACGAGUAAAGUACAAUUUAUUCUAGCUCUUUCUUUUCUGAGAACUUCAUCUCUUAGAACUCUCCCUCCAGCACUCGGAGUGACGUGUCCAGAGGAGGUGUGUGCUCCUCUCUCUUUUACGGUGUCAUCUACGGUAAUCCCUCCAGAGACAGGACGCUCGACUUUUCCGGUUUGAACUCCGAUUAAAGCUUUUACAGUCACGUGUCAACUCUGUAAUACUCAGAGUUGAACUCCUGGAAGCGUUCCUCAGAUUUUGGUUCUAAUUUCCAAACCAACUAAGGGAAUUACGUAGGUUUGUCUCGCUCCUUUACAACUGUCGUCUACGACUUGUAUACUUCUUCAACUACCUCCGACGAUUUAGGUUACUUCUACUCAAUGCCUUCAGAAGACCACUUGAUCUCAAUUUCGAAUUUCGGUCACUGAUACUCUCUGUCGUUUACUACCUUCUUUAUAGACUGGACUUUGAAGUCCAGGUCUUUUAUUGUUCAGAAGUUCUACUUCAAAGGUUUGAAUCUUCGAGGGAACUGCUCCGAUACAAACUUUUCCCUUUUAACUUCCGCGACGAUCUCAGACACUGACUCCUUACACUUCUUGACUUCCGUGUCUUUCGCUACGAUUGUCUAUUUCAAAGACUCUACGUUCUCUGAAACCUGUUACCACUUCUUCUUUUUGCUUCGUCUUAUAGAUACGUUCGUUUCGAACACUCUAACCUCUCACUAGCUAGUCGUAGCCUUCGUAGUGUACAUGUACUUCGUCUCAAUUUCUUGCUUGAAUCAUCCUAGUCUUCUAGUUUAUCGCUUAUGGUCUCCUUCUAUGUUAGGGAACUCGUCCUUUAACUCCUAGAGUGAUCUUUCGUCCUCUAACCUCUAAGAUGUCUAGAAGUCAGCUUCUAAGUUUAUGACCUUUGAUUCGAACGUCUCCGAAACCUCCUUUUAUUCUACAUGUCCCGAGUUGUUUUCUCAGGGCAACGGCUCCUCGUUAGACGACCACCCCUGUCCUAAAACGUCGACCUUCCUCUAGAUUCUCUAUACUUCCUCGCCAAUGAGUUAUACUCGAACCUCAUGCGUCUUCAUCUCCGGGUCGCCCUCGCUAAUCACUACCUCGACUUUAGACAGUUCUUUCCCCCCGCUACCAAGAUUGUACUACCUCUGGAACGGACGGUAUUUGUAUUCUGACUGUUGUGUCUACUGGGCAGUAGUUAGUCGCAGUACAGACGCAGUACUGUUAUGUUCGGUACUGUUAUCCUGACUACAGUCUAAUAGUACUACACUCUUGUUCGUUUACGUCUUGGUGUCCAGUACACGGCGUGAGUGAUCAACCAUGGCCACCUAACGCUCAGACUGAUAAUGGGCCUUCUUUUCUUUUCCAGUGGAGGUUCUCUACUCUACCAAAGAGACUUCUCCGUUUAUAACGCUCAGACUGGUAAAGGACCUUCUUUUUCGGUGGAGUGGACAUUCGGAGUGAUACUAUUAAGGCUAAAUUGGUUAACUAAUACACUACGGUACACAAAGAAGUAGGUCAUAUGGACAAAGAGUCAACUGGCCCUCCCACUUGCAAUAAACAAGUAUACCAAUGAGUCUAGUGGGUGGUAAAUGUACCCAUAAAUGUACUAAUGUACGUUUCAGGUGAAAUUGACAACUAUUUACAACAAGAAGCAGAACAAACACCUUGGUUGUACCUUCUCAAAUUCGAUCAUCAUGUUAUCGAUAUGAGAAUGUAAUAACAUUAAGUUAAACAUUUUAUACUUCCCCAGUUGACGAAUUAAUAAAAAUAAAAGUAGCGUUUAGCCUUUUAAUGAAUAACGAAAAC
rnacentral:rRNA from 1 species